rnacentral:rRNA from 1 species
GAUGAACGCUAGCUACAGGCCUAACACAUGCAAGUCGAGGGACCGGCGCACGGGUGAGUAACACGUAUCCAACCUGCCCUUUACUCGGGGAUAGCCUUUCGAAAGAAAGAAUAAUACCCGAUAUAAAGGAUGGGGAUGCGUUCCAUUAGGUUGUUGGUGAGGGAACGGCUCACCAAGCCUGCGAUGGAUAGGGGUUCUGAGAGGAAGGUACCCGAGAUUGGAACUAAGGCACAGACCAAGAGCGUACGCGGGGCAGCAGUGAGGAAUAUUAGUCAAUGAGGUCUAGCCUGGACCAGCCGAGUAGAGUGAAGGGUGAAGGCUUAUGGAUCGUAGACUUGUUUUAUAUAAGAAUAUGUAUUAUAUGAAUAAGGAUCGGCUAACUCCGUGCCAGCAGCCGCGGUAAUUC